GUUUGGAUCUCUGCUUCACUCUCUUGCGCCAACUAUGUAGUGAUUCUCUAACGCUUUCUGCUACCACCGCCUUCUUCCAGCGAGAUCCCAUCUGGAGUGAUUCGUCAGAGAAAAAUGUGGAUCGUUUGGAAGUCUUCAUUAUGUUAAAUUAUAUGUUGAUUAACUGAAGCUAGUGAACUGUUUCAACAUCGCAGCGAAAAUUUAUGUUUGUGCUCCCGCACCCGUACAUUUUACUUGACAUUAGAAAGCAUAAGAAAUUGAUAUUAGCAUUGCAAAAUCACUUGAAAGUUAAAAAGAAGAAAACUGUUGUAUGAGAAUGCUUACCUUAUCCCUAGAAUACCAUGAAAUUCGUCUUC